GACGAACGCUGGCGGCGCGCUUAACACAUGCAAGUCGAACGGAAAGGCCUGCUUUCCCUUGUGGAUUGCGGGUACUCGAGUGGCGAACGGGUGAGUAACACGUGAGUGAUCUGCCCCCAACUUGGGUAUAAGCCUGGGAAACUGGGUCUAAUUCCCGAUAGGACUGCAGGGUGGUUCCUGUGGUGGAAAACGAUUUUCUAGUGGUUGGGGAUGAGCUCGCGGCCUAUCAGCUUGUUGGUGGGGUAAUGGCCUACCAAGUCGGCGACGGGUAGCCGGCCUGAGAGGGUGGACGGGCACAGUGGGACUGAGAUACGGCCCAGACUCCUACGGGAGGCAGCAGUGGGGAAUAUUGCACAAUGGGCGGAAGCCUGAUGCAGCGACGCCGCGUAGGGGAUGACGGCCUUCGGGUUGUAAACUCCUUUCGACCGCGAGGAAGCCACCUGGUUGGAAGGGUGGUGACGGUAGUGGUAGAAGAAGCACCGGCUAACUACGUG
rnacentral:rRNA from 1 species